rnacentral:lncRNA from 1 species
GGACCCAAGCUCCUCCCACGGCCGCAGCCAUCUUGCCCGUGCGUCCGUGGCACGGAACGGCCGUUAGUCCCGGCAGAGGGCUCCGCGAAGACAGUGCCGUCGUUGGGCGCGCGCGCGGGCGGGAGCUGUCGGGGCGGGGCGGCACCGCCGAGCUCCGAGCUUUCCAGAAGCAAAAACAAAAAAAGUUCGGGUACAGCGGCUCACACCUGUAAUCCCAGCUCUUAGGGAGAUGGAAACUGGAGGAUCACUUGAGGCCAGGAGUUCAAGACCAGCCUGGGCAACAUAGCAAGACCCAGUCUCUUAAAAGAAAAUUAAAAAGAAAGAGUAAAUAAAGUUCCAGAAGCUUUGCUCUCCUUAUCCAA